rnacentral:rRNA from 1 species
CGGGGUGCACCAGGCGCGAAAACUCUACAAUGCAGGCAACUGCGAUAGGGGGACAUCGAGUGGCAUCCACCUUGGGUGCCUGUCCCACCGUCUAAAAAACGGUGGUUAGCAAGGGCCGGGCAAGACCGGUGCCAGCCGCCGCGGUAAUACCGGCGGCUCGAGUGGUGGCCGAUAUUAUUGAGUCUAAAGGGUCCGUAGCCGGCUUUGCAAGUCCCCUGGGAAAUCCAGCGGCUUAACCGUUGGGCUUUCAUGGGAUACUACAUUGCUUGGGACUGGGAGAGGUAGGAGGUACUCGGGGGGUAGGGGUGAAAUCCUGUAAUCCCCCGGGGACCACCGGUGGCGAAGGCGUCCUACCAGAACAGGUCCGACGGUGAGGGACGAAAGCUAGGGGCACGAACCGGAUUAGAUACCCGGGUAGUCCUAGCCGUAAACGAUGCCCGCUAGGUGUCACGGCGGUCGUGAAUCGCCGUGGUGCCGUAGGGAAGCCGCGAAGCGGGCCACUUGGGAAGUACGGCCGCAAGGCUGAAACUUAAAGGAAUUGGCGGGGGAGCAC